rnacentral:sRNA from 1 species
UAAAGCUCUGUGCGAGAGUUAGGAACCC